AUGGGAAAUCUUUUGAAACUUCAUCGUGAUGGGGAUAGAGCAUUGCAAUUAUUGUUCUUCAACGAGGAAUCCCCUAUUUAACCAAAAAUCACCAGCUUGUGCUGAUUACGUCCCUGCCCUUUGUACACACCGCCCGUCGCUACUACCGAUUGAAUGACUUAGUGAGGCCCUCGGAUCGAUAUUCAUGAACUGGCAACAGUUUUUGUUUGUUGAGAAGUUGGUCAACUUUGGUCAUUUUAGAGGAAGUAAAA
rnacentral:rRNA from 1 species